rnacentral:rRNA from 1 species
UACGUAGGGUGCAAGCGUUAAUCGGAAUUACUGGGCGUAAAGCGUGCGCAGGCGGUUGUGUAAGACAGAUGUGAAAUCCCCGGGCUCAACCUGGGAACUGCAUUUGUGACUGCACGGCUGGAGUGCGGCAGAGGGGGAUGGAAUUCCGCGUGUAGCAGUGAAAUGCGUAGAUAUGCGGAGGAACACCGAUGGCGAAGGCAGUCCCCUGGGCCUGUACUGACGCUCAUGCACGAAAGCGUGGGGAGCAAACAGG